CUACAGAUCCACAUUGUAUUGUAAAUAUUAUCCCCGUUUACUGCCGUGCGUUUAAGUUCAGCCUUUUCUGCGUGGACAACUUGCUAUCUUUUGUAUGGUGUCAGCUUACAGGAAUGUUCCCAGAUACUUUAUCAGGUCAGAGCAGGAACCCGGGCAUUCAAAAUCGGACUCUGUACAUAGCAGGCGGGAAGUUCCAUCACAUUCCUGGAUGUAGAAGACGAAGCCAACACAGACGCAAGAAAAGCCCGAUGGCAAAGAUGACUGAUUAUCUUCCAUAUGUAUUGAUGAAAUGAAGUAUUCUUUAAAACA